CAGGGACACACACAUCCACGUCCCAGAUGAUUUCUUCAUGGUUCCCCCUAACCCUGCUGUUCCUGUCGCCAUCGGCUUGUUUGUUGUCUUCCUGUGUGUUGUUGCUGUUGUCUUUGUUGUGUGGAAAUGGAGACGGAACAAAACAAAGAGACAGAGGGAGGAGAAC